UCCUCAAUAGCUCAGUCAGUAGAGCAUGAGACUCUUAAUCUUAAGGUCGUGGGUUCAAGCUACAUGUUGGGUGAA